rnacentral:rRNA from 1 species
GAUGAACGCUGGCGGCGUGCCUAAUACAUGCAAGUCGAGCGAACGGACGAGAAGCUUGCUUCUCUGAUGUUAGCGGCGGACGGGUGAGUAACACGUGGAUAACCUACCUAUAAGACUUGGAUACCUUCGGGAAACCGGCGCUAAUACCGGAUAAUAUUUUGAACCGCAUGGUUCAAAAGUGAAAGACGGUCUUGCUGUCACUUAUAGAUGGAUCCGCGCUGCAUUAGCUAGUUGGUAAGGUAACGGCUUACCAAGGCAACGAUGCAUAGCCGACCUGAGAGGGUGAUCGGCCACACUGGAACGGAGACACGGUCCAGACUCCUACGGGAGGCAGCAGUAGGGAAUCUUCCGCAAUGGGCGAAAGCCUGACGGAGCAACGCCGCGUGAGUGAUGAAGGUCUUCGGAUCGUAAAACUCUGUUAUUAGGGAAGAACAUAUGUGUAAGUAACUGUGCACAUCUUGACGGUACCUAAUCAGAAAGCCACGGCUAACUACGUG